UUAAGUUAUUAAGGGCGCACGGUGGAUGCCUUGGCACUAGAAGCCGAUGAAGGACGUUACUAACGACGAUAUGCUUUGGGGAGCUGUAAGUAAGCUUUGAUCCAGAGAUUUCCGAAUGGGGAAACCCAGCAUGAGUUAUGUCAUGUUAUCGAUAUGUGAAUACAUAGCAUAUCAGAAGGCACACCCGGAGAACUGAAACAUCUUAGUACCCGGAGGAAGAGAAAGAAAAUUCGAUUCCCUUAGUAGCGGCGAGCGAAACGGGAAGAGCCCAAACCAACAAGCUUGCUUGUUGGGGUUGUAGGACACUCUAUACGGAGUUACAAAGGACGACAUUAGACGAAUCAUCUGGAAAGAUGAAUCAAAGAAGGUAAUAAUCCUGUAGUCGAAAAUGUUGUCUCUCUUGAGUGGAUCCUGAGUACGACGGAGCACGUGAAAUUCCGUUGGAAUCUGGGAGGACCAUCUCCUAAGGCUAAAUACUCUCUAGUGACCGAUAGUGAACCAGUACCGUGAGGGAAAGGUGAAAAGCACCCCGGAAGGGGAGUGAAAUAGAACCUGAAACCGUGUGCUUACAAGUAGUCAGAGCCCGUUAAUGGGUGAUGGCGUGCCUUUUGUAGAAUGAACCGGCGAGUUACGAUUUGAUGCAAGGUUAAGCAGUAAAUGUGGAGCCGUAGCGAAAGCGAGUCUGAAUAGGGCGUUUAGUAUUUGGUCGUAGACCCGAAACCAGGUGAUCUACCCUUGGUCAGGUUGAAGUUCAGGUAACACUGAAUGGAGGACCGAACCGACUUACGUUGAAAAGUGAGCGGAUGAACUGAGGGUAGCGGAGAAAUUCCAAUCGAACCUGGAGAUAGCUGGUUCUCUCCGAAAUAGCUUUAGGGCUAGCCUCAAGUGAUGAUUAUUGGAGGUAGAGCACUGUUUGGACGAGGGGCCCCUCUCGGGUUACCGAAUUCAGACAAACUCCGAAUGCCAAUUAAUUUAACUUGGGAGUCAGAACAUGGGUGAUAAGGUCCGUGUUCGAAAGGGAAACAGCCCAGACCACCAGCUAAGGUCCCAAAAUAUAUGUUAAGUGGAAAAGGAUGUGGCGUUGCCCAGACAACUAGGAUGUUGGCUUAGAAGCAGCCAUCAUUUAAAGAGUGCGUAAUAGCUCACUAGUCGAGUGACACUGCGCCGAAAAUGUACCGGGGCUAAACAUAUUACCGAAGCUGUGGAUUGUCCUUUGGACAAUGGUAGGAGAGCGUUCUAAGGGCGUUGAAGCAUGAUCGUAAGGACAUGUGGAGCGCUUAGAAGUGAGAAUGCCGGUGUGAGUAGCGAAAGACGGGUGAGAAUCCCGUCCACCGAUUGACUAAGGUUUCCAGAGGAAGGCUCGUCCGCUCUGGGUUAGUCGGGUCCUAAGCUGAGGCCGACAGGCGUAGGCGAUGGAUAACAGGUUGAUAUUCCUGUACCACCUAUAAUCGUUUUAAUCGAUGGGGGGACGCAGUAGGAUAGGCGAAGCGUGCGAUUGGAUUGCACGUCUAAGCAGUAAGGCUGAGUAUUAGGCAAAUCCGGUACUCAUUAAGGCUGAGCUGUGAUGGGGAGAAGACAUUGUGUCUUCGAGUCGUUGAUUUCACACUGCCGAGAAAAGCCUCUAGAUAGAAAAUAGGUGCCCGUACCGCAAACCGACACAGGUAGUCAAGAUGAGAAUUCUAAGGUGAGCGAGCGAACUCUCGUUAAGGAACUCGGCAAAAUGACCCCGUAACUUCGGGAGAAGGGGUGCUCUUUAGGGUUAACGCCCAGAAGAGCCGCAGUGAAUAGGCCCAAGCGACUGUUUAUCAAAAACACAGGUCUCUGCUAAACCGUAAGGUGAUGUAUAGGGGCUGACGCCUGCCCGGUGCUGGAAGGUUAAGAGGAGUGGUUAGCUUCUGCGAAGCUACGAAUCGAAGCCCCAGUAAACGGCGGCCGUAACUAUAACGGUCCUAAGGUAGCGAAAUUCCUUGUCGGGUAAGUUCCGACCCGCACGAAAGGCGUAACGAUUUGGGCACUGUCUCAACGAGAGACUCGGUGAAAUCAUAGUACCUGUGAAGAUGCAGGUUACCCGCGACAGGACGGAAAGACCCCGUGGAGCUUUACUGUAGCCUGAUAUUGAAAUUCGGCACAGCUUGUACAGGAUAGGUAGGAGCCUUUGAAACGUGAGCGCUAGCUUACGUGGAGGCGCUGGUGGGAUACUACCCUAGCUGUGUUGGCUUUCUAACCCGCACCACUUAUCGUGGUGGGAGACAGUGUCAGGCGGGCAGUUUGACUGGGGCGGUCGCCUCCUAAAAGGUAACGGAGGCGCUCAAAGGUUCCCUCAGAAUGGUUGGAAAUCAUUCAUAGAGUGUAAAGGCAUAAGGGAGCUUGACUGCGAGACCUACAAGUCGAG
rnacentral:rRNA from 29 species